AUAGCGAUUUCAUAUGGUUCAACCUAAUAUAUCUGAGAAUAAAUACAAAAAGCCAUACCUAAAGGAAGAGCUUGGACCAACCCACCCACCCAUCAGAUCACUUCUCUGAUGUAAUCUUAGGGAGGGCAGGGCUGGAAUGUAAUAACAAUUGAAUGAUCAGCAAUCUUUUUUUUUUUUUUAAGAUUUUAUUUUUUGAGAGAGAUGGGAAAGCACAGAGGGAGAGUGAGAGGGAGAAGCAGACUCCCUGAUGAGCAGAGAGCCUGACGUGGGGCUCGACCCCAGGACCCUGAGAUCAUGACCUGAGCCGAAAGCAGUUGCUGAACCGACUGAGCCCCCCGGGCGUCCCAAAUGAUCAGCAAUCUUAUCAACUGUGUCGUAUGGAGAAAGCAGAAAACAAGAAUGAGGGAGGAGGCUGGAGAAUAGAAGGGAAAAAGAAGUAGGGUAAAGCCAAGAGGCCAGCAGGUGACACUUAUUACCUACCACUGUCAAGGAAAGAGCAACAGGAAACUGGAGCUCAUACAGAUGUGCCCUGCUGUGAGGUGGUGAUGACUCACUAAGCCCCACCCUGACUUAAAAGAAAUCUGCCCACAGCUAACUCUUGGGAUAUACUCAACAAACAGCCAGCUGAUGGCUGAUUUGGCUCUCUGACUGCUGAUACUGGGAAAAGGGUACCCCAGUUGAGGGAGGAGCAUUCCAUUUACUGAAGGACUAACACCAACUGUAAAUGAAUACGCGAGUAUCUGGCUAUAUACUUCAGCCUCCUGUGAGUUGGAUCGCUGGGAGUCAGGCUUCUCCAGGCAGCUGGACCUCAGAGCACCGACUUGGCUGUGAAACAGGUUCAGCUCUCUGAGUGCAAAGGACGUAAUUAUGUUGGAAAGGCAUGAUUAUCCUGUUGCUGACCCUGACUCCAUUCCCGGUCCUAUCUCAUGACCCGACAAGUAGAUGUGAAGUCCUCUGGCCCCGGUUACCAGGGUCAAGUGCCUGCUUUCUGGAGUCAGACCUGGAUUCAAAUCGCAGCUCUGCCUCUUCCCAGCAAGUCUCUUAACUUCUCUGCCGCUCGGGUGUUUUCAUCUGUAAAGGCGAUGAUGAACACACCUGCCUGUGGAGUUGGGAGGACUUGUAGGAGGGAAUGAAUAGAGGACCGCUCAGCUCAGUGCCUGGAAUUGUCAACCCAAUUAAUGUUAGGUAUCGUUGUUAUCAAGAGUGUUCAUGUUAUCGCUAAGGCACGUAUCAUGAAUCACAGUUCUGUGGGGUGUUUGGGGGCCCUUCCUUGUAUCUGUCCUCCCUGGCCCUGCUUCUUCUUCAUUCCUGGUCUCCAGUGCCUACAGAGUAAGUGCCCACCCCAGAGGAGACAAUCACUGAACAUUUGUUGACAGAAAAAAAAGUGUCAUGCUUUAUAUUUGCAGUUACUAAAUACGAAGUCACUUAGUAUUUUGGCAUCUUCUCUCAAAUCUGAUUAUAUAGUUUUUACUCACGUUAAACUGUCUGUGACCUCAAGAUGUCUGGAUCAAAAUGGCCGCUAUAAAGAACACUGUCUAGUGACAGACUGAGCACUUCACUACUACCGGCUGUUCCACUCAGUCUUUGGAGCUGGGGAGUCCCUCUCCCACUCAGCCCAAAGAGAACUGGACUUCCUGGCCUACUACUCCUCAGUCCAGCAUCUGAGGGAAGAAGCUACGGGUCUCCUUAGGUAAUCAUUGAUAAGCCUCCUGUCAGAUUAUUACACAGAAGAAGAAAGCAUUUGGAUGAUCAUGACCCAACCUCCUGUAUGGAGUUAAUCUUAGAUGGUGUGAUUCUGUGAUCUGCCCCCUUCAACAGCCCCCUCCUCCCCACCAGCCUCAGGGGACCUUUCCACACAAUAGAAGGCCCUGCCUGAGGAAUGCUGAAAGGUUAGAAACUGGAAAAUUUUUGUGAGGUUGCCUGGGGCUUUCUCCCUUGUUGCUGGCAAAUCUCCUUCCUACUGGCAUCUGUGGGUCUUGGCCCCGGAGGAACAAAUACCAUGUCAUGUAUUUGUAAACAAUUGUAAAUUUAUGUAACAAUUAUAUGUUAUGUAUUGAACCCGCUGACAAACAUAGCUGGACCAAGAAUAACUCCAUUCGUAAAUUCUCCGUAAAAUGGCAAAGUUAAUUAAAGGCUCUUAGUGAUACGGCGCCUCCUCCCCCCCUCUGCCCCCACGCCCAUGGCAAAGAAGCUCAGAUCCCAACCUAUCCCUGCCCCACCCGCCAAAUUGCAGCAGAUCUGCAGUUGUUCCAACAGGGUUUAUCACCAUCUACCCACCCAAUUGCCGCAUCCGUAGGCCCUUCACAUUUCCCAGGAUACCCUACACGGAAGGGAGCCCCUUUGCCUGGGUGUAGAAAAUGUGAAGCCUGAAAAAUCUCCUCUCUUAACUCUCAAAUAUGACAGUUGGAACAAAAAUGACCUGGACUUGCCUGACCAGCCUCAGUUGAAGCCGACUCUAAGUAUGUAGCUAGACUAUUAACCCUCUGGGUUCCCCAAGGACUUUCUGUCCCAGCUCUCUCCAAAUACUGUCUCCAGAGUCCUCUGCCCCGGCUUGCCC